CGGUCACGUGACCUAUGGCGGGAAGCAUAAAAUCCAGGAAGAGCGAGAGGGACGUUGCCGCAGGAGCCAACUACUGAAGCCGUGCGAGAGUGUUUAAGUGGGAUUUAUCUGCGGAAUUGGACAUGUUGGAUGGCGAGUUAGAGCCUGAACUAGAGCCUGAAGCUUUAUGCCUGGAACCGAACCAACCGAACUGAAUCCACCCAACCGAGCCGGGCGGGUAGGAGGCUCCUCAGCAGCCGCUCUGUUUUUUCCCUUUGGUUUUUCAUAACACAACAAGUUCAUUUCUGUCCUCCCUGAACUUUCACAUUUAGCCGUUACCUUCACUAAAACCCCUCUGGACACGGCCACCACAACGUGGACUUUGCGAGGUCGUUUAAUGAACUGUCGUGUUGCGCCUAUACCAUUCUUGGUAAAAACAAGGACUGAAUCAAGUACUGUAUCACAUUGUAAAUAUUGAACGUUCUGUAAUUUAUGUUAAAAAUGUGAAUGGCCAUUCGAAUUUACAUGUCUUUUUGUUGUUUAUUUUUCCUAUAAUUCUUUAAUAUAAUUU